rnacentral:rRNA from 1 species
UACAGAGACUGCAAGCGUUAUUCGGAUUCACUGGGCGUAAAGGGUGCGCAGGCGGCCGCGUGUGUGAGGCGUGAAAGCCCGGGGCUUAACCCCGGAAUUGCACCUCAAACUACGUGGCUAGAGCAUUGGAGAGGGUAGCAGAAUUCACGGUGUAGCAGUGAAAUGCGUAGAUAUCGUGAGGAAUACCAGAGGCGAAGGCGGCUACCUGGACAAUUACUGACGCUCAUGCACGAAAGCGUGGGGAGCAAACAGG